rnacentral:rRNA from 1 species
UACGUAGGGUGCGAGCGUUGUCCGGAAUUAUUGGGCGUAAAGAGCUUGUAGGUGGCUCGUUGCCGUCGGGAGUGAAAACCUGCGGCUUAACCGCAGGCCUGCUUCCGAUACGGGCGAGCUAGAGUUCGGCAGGGGAGACUGGAAUUCCUGGUGUAGCGGUGGAAUGCGCAGAUAUCAGGAGGAACACCGGUGGCGAAGGCGGGUCUCUGGGCCGAUGACUGACACUGAGAAGCGAAAGCGUGGGAGCGAACAGG